rnacentral:rRNA from 1 species
GACGAACGCUGGCGGCGUGCUUAACACAUGCAAGUCGAACGGUGAACCGGGCUUCGGCCCGGGGAUCAGUGGCGAACGGGUGCGUAACACGUGGGCAACCUGCCUCAGACACUGGGAUAACCCCGGGAACCGGGGCUAAUACCGGAUACUCCGACCGGACUGCAUGAUCCGGCCGGGAAAGCUCCGACGGUCUGAGAUGGGCCCGCGGCCUAUCAGCUUGUUGGUGGGGUAACGGCCCACCAAGGCGACGACGGGAGCUGGUC